UGCUUAUUUUAAUGUAUUAAAUUUUGUUAAAGGUUUUGUCAUUUUCAUAAGCAUAUUCAUAUUCAAUAAAUCAAUGGACCUUUUUGCAUUCAAAUAUUGCGCUCUUUAUCUUUCCUGUCAUCUUUCAAAUAAGCUAUGUUUUCUUGCACACACUCACGUAACAAUUUGCCGAUCCAUAUCCACUCUGGAUCCUGUUGGUAAUAACUCUUCUACUGUUCAUUAUAACUUUGAAAAUCCGAUCUACCAAGCCGAGGAUGGAAGUGAGGAAGAUUGUGAAGUACCUGA
rnacentral:lncRNA from 1 species